GCAAAUAUUUGGGCAAGACCUUUUUUUUUUUUUCACCGAUGGAGCCGGCCGCUUUAUGCUCGAAGAAACAGGGUUUGAGCAGAUGGCCAUUUGGAGUGCGGCGCCUUCGUUUUAGCUGUGCUCAAAUCAAAUAAAGCCCCCCCCCCCCCCCUCACGCCACGCCACGCGUAGAAACAGGAAGCGACGUAGAAGAGCCGACGCCGAUGGUCCAAUCUCCUCUCAUUAAGAAUUGAACGGGGGGGGGAAGGUCAGCGCGAGAGCCGGGAGGAAGAAUGAUUCAUCUCAAAAACCAACACGCCGCAGUCGUCCUCUGAUGGAGCCGCACGUUACUGAGACGGUGACCAGCACGUCCGACUCUGUUACCACGGCGAUGUAUCCUCCAGACAGCACCCGCGGCACGAUUGAUCAAACGGCUGAUGGAAGCUGGCGGCGACACAAAGGGCGGCACAGUCACAGGUUUUUAAAUGUUUCCAUUCGGGGGACUCGGAUGAUGAUCCGGAACAUCGUCUGUUACGGUGGACGAGCAGGUGGAGGCUCCGUGACGAACAUUUGGAAACACGGUGGCCGUUUGUGUAACAUUUUGCUUAUUCAUCUUCCCAAAAAAAAGCAUCUUUGCAAAGAACGGAAGAGCCACUGACUAUUAGAAUAAAGCAAAUUUUACAAAAAGCUCAAGCGCCAUCUUUUACUGCAGGAUAAACUUUGACCUCGAGUUCGGCCUUUUCUUUUUUUGCGUCGAACCAACUUUUGUCUCUUUCCCUUUUUAUUGUGAACUAUUAAAAAUAUGUUCUAUUGUGA
ensembl:lncRNA